CACGUAGGGCGCAAGCGUUGUCCGGAAUUAUUGGGCGUAAAGAGCUCGUAGGCGGUCUGUUGCGUCCGCUGUGAAAACUCGGGGCUUAACCCCGAGCCUGCAGUCGAUACGGGCAGGCUAGAGUUCGGCAGGGGAGACUGGAAUUCCUGGUGUAGCGGUGAAAUGCGCAGAUAUCAGGAGGAACACCGGUGGCGAAGGCGGGUCUCUGGGCCGAUACUGACACUGAGGAGCGAAAGCGUGGGGAGCGAACAGG
rnacentral:rRNA from 1 species